UACGUAGGUGGCGAGCGUUGUCCGGAUUUACUGGGCGUAAAGGGAGCGUAGGCGGACUUUUAAGUGAGAUGUGAAAUACCCGGGCUCAACUUGGGUGCUGCAUUUCAAACUGGAAGUCUAGAGUGCAGGAGAGGAGAAUGGAAUUCCUAGUGUAGCGGUGAAAUGCGUAGAGAUUAGGAAGAACACCAGUGGCGAAGGCGAUUCUCUGGACUUAUACUGACGCUGAGGAACGAAAGCGUGGGGAGCAAACAGGAUUAGAUACCCUGGUA
rnacentral:rRNA from 1 species